rnacentral:rRNA from 1 species
AGUGAACGCUGGCGGUAGGCCUAACACAUGCAAGUCGAACGGCAGCACAGUAAGAGCUUGCUCUUACGGGUGGCGAGUGGGGGAGGGGGGGGGAAACCACCGGAAUUUCUUUUUUCGUGGGGGAUAACGUAGGGAAACUAACGUUAUUACGCCAUACGACUUCCGGUUGAAACAAGGGGACCUUCGGCCUUUGCGCGAUUGAUUGAGCCGAUGUCGGAUUAGCUAGUUGGCGGGGUAAAGGCCCACCAAGGCGACGAUCCGUAGCUGGUCUGAGAGGAUGAUCAGCCACACUGGAACUGAGACACGGUCCAGACUCCUACGGGAGGCAGCAGUGGGGAAUAUUGGACAAUGGGCGCAAGCCUGAUCCAGCCAUACCGCGUGGGUGAAGAAGGCCUUCGGGUUGUAAAGCCCUUUUGUUGGGAAAGAAAAGCAGCAGGUUAAUACCCCGCUGUUCUGACGGUACCCAAAGAAUAAGCACCGGCUAACUUCGUG